rnacentral:SRP_RNA from 1 species
AUUAGGAGUGGUGGUGCAUACCUGUAAUCCCAUCUACCAAGGAAGAUAAGACUAGCAGAUCUCUUGAGCUCAGGAGUUUUGAGUCACAGUGGGCUAAGCCAAUCUACUGUCCAAACUAAAAUGAGCGUUAUUAUGGUGAGCACCCAGGAUUGGGGUCCACUAGCUUGCCUAAAGAACGGCAAACUGGUCCCAGUUGGAAACAGAGCAGGGCAAAGUUCCAGAGUCAAUCAGAGUGGAACCUUGAGUAGCCCCUGUAUUUCUAGUCUGGACAAGCUAGGGAGACCCAAACUUUA